GACGAACGCUGGCGGCGUGCUUAACACAUGCAAGUCGAACGGAAAGGCCCUGCUUUUGUGGGGUGCUCGAGUGGCGAACGGGUGAGUAACACGUGAGUAACCUGCCCUUGACUUUGGGAUAACUUCAGGAAACUGGGGCUAAUACCGGAUAGGAGCUCCUGCUGCAUGGUGGGGGUUGGAAAGUUUCGGCGGUUGGGGAUGGACUCGCGGCUUAUCAGCUUGUUGGUGGGGUAGUGGCUUACCAAGGCUUUGACGGGUAGCCGGCCUGAGAGGGUGACCGGCCACAUUGGGACUGAGAUACGGCCCAGACUCCUACGGGAGGCAGCAGUGGGAAAUAUUGCACAAUGGGCGGAAGCCUGAUGCAGCAACGCCGCGGGCGGGAUGACGGCCUUCGGGUUGUAAACCGCUUUCGCCUGUGACGAAGCGUGAGUGACGGUAAUGGGUAAAGAAGCACCGGCUAACUACGUG
rnacentral:rRNA from 1 species